rnacentral:rRNA from 1 species
CAGCAGUAGCCACGGGAAUACGUAGGGUGCGAGCGUUAAUCGGAAUUACUGGGCGUAAAGCGUGCGCAGGCGGUUAUAUAAGACAGAUGUGAAAUCCCCGGGCUCAACCUGGGACCUGCAUUUGUGACUGUAUAGCUAGAGUACGGUAGAGGGGGAUGGAAUUCCGCGUGUAGCAGUGAAAUGCGUAGAUAUGCGGAGGAACACCGAUGGCGAAGGCAAUCCCCCGGACCUGUACUGACGCUCAUGCACGAAAGCGUGGGGAGCAAACAGGAUUAGAUACCCCCGUAGUCCCUGUCUCUUAUAC